UACGGGGGGGGCGAGCGUUGUUCGGAAUUACUGGGCGUAAAGGGUUUGUAGGUGGCCUGCUAAGUCAGACGUGAAAUCCCUCAGCUUAACUGGGGAACUGCGUCUGAUACUGGCGGGCUUGAGGACAGGAGAGGAACGCGGAAUUCCAGGUGUAGCGGUGAAAUGCGUAGAUAUCUGGAGGAACACCAAUGGCGAAGGCAGCUCGCUGGGACGGUACUGACGCUGAGGCGCGAAAGCGUGGGGAGCAAACAGG
rnacentral:rRNA from 1 species